UCUGGAGUGUGCAAUCGUUAAUCGGAAUUACUGGGCGUAAAGCGCGCGUAGGUGGCUUGAUAAGCCGGUUGUGAAAGCCCCGGGCUCAACCUGGGAACGGCAUCCGGUACCGUCAAGCUAGAGUGCAGGAGAGGAAGGUAGAAUUCCCGGUGUAGCGGUGAAAUGCGUAGAGAUCGGGAGGAAUACCAGUGGCGAAGGCGGCCUUCUGGACUGACACUGACACUGAGGUGCGAAAGCGUGGGUAGCAAACAGG
rnacentral:misc_RNA from 1 species